rnacentral:tRNA from 1 species
CGGCCGGGUUCGGGUGGGUGGUCGCGGGGCGGGUCCUCGCCCCGCUGCGCCGGGUGACCGAGACGGCGCGGCGGAUCGCGGCCGCCCCGGUCGCC